rnacentral:lncRNA from 1 species
GUGGUUUGAGAGGAGUUGCGAUGACAAACUGUUGCAGUAGUACAUUAAAGUAAAUAAGUUCAAAGGGGCGUAACUCCUUGAAAAAAAAUUGAAUCGCAAUUUCCCGUCGAUAUGCACAACUUCAUAGUAUGUCCUUAUUAUCUGAAAAGGUUUCGUGAAAUUCUGUUGUGUGGUUUGAGAGGAGUUGAGAUGACAAACUGUUGCAGAAGUACAUUGAAGCAAAUAAGUUCAAAGGGGCUUAACUCCUAGAAAAAAAUUGAACCGUAAUUUCCUGUUGAUAUGCACAUCUACAUAGUAUGUCCUUAUUAUCUACAAAGUUUCGUGAAAUUCUGUUGUGUGGUUUGAGAGGAGUUGCGAUGACAAACUGUUGCAGUAGUACAUUAAAGUAAAUAAGUUCAAAGGGGUGCAACUCCUAGAAAAAAAAUUGAAUCGCAAUUUCCUGUCGAUAUGCACAACUACAUAGUAUGUCCUUAUUAUCUGAAAAGGUUUCGUGAAAUUCUGUUGUGUGGUUUGAGAGGAGUUGCGAUGACAAACUGUUGCAGUAGUACAUUAAAGUAAAUAAGUUCAAAGGGGCGUAACUCCUAGAAAAAAAUUGAAUCGCAAUUUCCCGUCGAUAUGCACAACUACAUAGUAUGUCCUUAUUAUCUGAAAAGGUUUCGUGAAAUUCUGUGUGUGGUUUGAGAGGAGUUGCGAUGACAAACUGUUGCAGUAGUACAUUAAAGUAAAUAAGUUCAAAGGGGCGUAACUCCUAGAAAAAAAAUUGAAU